rnacentral:lncRNA from 1 species
GCUGGCUGGUGAGUUUACAAGGCAAGGUCAUGUUCACAAACAACGUGUCACUCGUCAAUACACGGCGUAUCAGCAUCACCGGGCCCAAAACAGGAUUCGUUUCAAGGUAGUCAGAGCAAGGCAGACAAACACGGAGCGAUGCCCAGGCUCUCUCAAGAGCAGAGCCAGCGAUAGCGGUUUAUUUAAAGAUAUCUUUGCUCUGCGGGGCCCUACGCGCCACCAGACGUCCCAAACAGGGAGCCGCAGGGGCAGCUGGCCCUUCGCGGGACGUGCUGCGGCCUUCGCCGCGCCAGUUGUUUACGCACUUUACUAUUUCUGCAGCUUCCGUGGCCGGAGCGCGCGAGCUGUUGAUUCGCAAAUGGGAGAGCCCGCCUAACCUCACUCACCAAUAUCCUGUCUCUCCGGCGCUGCAGGUUCCACAGAGCACGGAGAGGCAGAAGCAUUAAAGGUACACAAACACUCAUUUCCUCCGCCGCCCGGGAGAUCAUAUCGACGGCGCCUUUGUUUUAAUGCCAGAAAUAUGAAAUGUUGACAUGACUAAGCACACCGCUGCUGGGCAAUAACCCUCUGCCCUCCGACCUCCGAUCUCCUCGCCCUCCUGUUCGCCGCCUGUCCCCGACACCGAGAACUUGCCUGAUCCCCUGAAUCCAGACGAAUGACUCCGCACUUGGGUCCUGUCAUCCCGGUUCUCUCUCGGCCUCGUAUGACAUGCUCUGUUGGCACCAAUGAUCGCAGCACCCGUCCAUUCGACGUUCGUGGUCUUGAGGCCUUCUCGGAAGGUGGAACACCACGUUUCCGGCGGUCGACCCUGUCUGCGCUUCCCCUUCGGCGGCGCCCAUCGCAUCGCCACCGUUGGAAAUCAAACACAAACUCCAAAACUGCCACGUGAGACUCGCCAACUGCAUCUGGGACGAGCAGUUUCAUGGCCUGGAGGGGCCACGUGGGCCAGAGCAUGGGCGCUGCUGCCGGGUCUGGCUUUGAGGAUGACCCAGGGUCUUCGGUCUCCUGUCCACCCAAGCAGGAAGGGUGUGCUCCUGCUGUCCGCUGCAGGUCUGCUUUCCCCCCCUGCGGUGUGGAGAGCAGAGGAUGCAUGUGAUGAGGAAAAGCAGGAUUUUCCUCCUUUGGGAGCAGGGAAGCCCUGCUAAUCACACAUUUCCUUCCCACAAACUUCUGCUGAGUCACCCAAGCGGACAUUCAGAAAGAGGAAAAACCGAACAUCUCUUUCUGACUGCUGUUACCCCAAAGAAAUACCAUUUUUACACAGUCUCCGG